CAAACAAUACAUAUUCCCAAAUCAGAAUCACGGAAGCAUCAUCUUCUUCCCCACCACAUGGCGGCGCAGCUGCCGCUCCACGAAUCGCCAUGAAGCAAAAAGUUAUAAAUCUGAUACCUCACCAGCCACCACACUGCUGCAAUACAGCACCCGGCAAAACGUAAUCCGUAAACGAAACCACCUCCGAUUCCAAGCACUCCCUACAACUCCCUAUACCUCUUAUAGCUCCCCACCGCCGCUUCAUUCACUUUUCCCAUGAGCUUCUUUACCGCUGCGCUAAACCUUACGGGAUCCGUUGCGCUCGUUCUCUACGUUGAACACAAUGACGGCGUAGGUGGUGCUGAGUUUCCUAAGAAUUCGUCUGUGCUGUAGUGGAGGGCAGAGGUAGGAGAGGUGGUUGGCUGCGUUAGUGAUAUUGCAGGAUGAGCAGAUGUUGGAGGAGAUAUUGGCGUAGCCGGAUUGAGGGGUUUUGAUUUUGAGUUAGGAGAGGACGUAGUUUAUGCAUGUUUGAUUGAAAGGGAUUAGUGGCGGAGAUGAAGCUGAUGGCAUCGACGUAGAGGGUGAGGAGGAAUUUGGCUGUGAAUGCCAUUGUCGAGUUUUGCUGAGAGAGUUCGAUGAUUAAUCGAGAUUUGGUUAUGUAGACGGGGAAUUAUUAGUUGGAAGAUAUACUUUUUUUUAGCCUAUAUAUAUAUUAAAAAGCUCAAAACUUUAAUAAGCACAAAUAUGGAAUUCCGUUUCUUUCGUUCGCGCGGGAACCAAUUUGAAAUCUUCCUCUCCCCCCUCAGCCACACCCUCUAUUCUACACCGACUCAAGCAGAUAGAUCACCACGGGAUUGGCUUGCGACACUGCUCCCGGUCUCCUCCUCCAUCUAAAAUUUACGGCCGCACCCUCCAAUCGGUCACGGCACAAGAAAAUCACCGUCUUCAACUAGGUAACUGUUCGCGUCCAUCUUCCUGUUCAUAUCAACCCCAUUCGAUGAUUUCGUUCAGAUUUUCUAUGGAGUAAGAGAAGCUGUAAUCUAAUUGGGUAUAUACAAAGGUAUCCAUAUUUUUCUAGAGCACGAGGUGUUCGAUGAUUUGCCCCAUCUAGACACAGACUUCUUUCAUCUCUGCUUUUUGCAAAAGCCAUUCUUUAUCUGGUCAAAGAUUUUGCUUUGCUAGAUGGUGAGAAACUCCCCUAAUUUGCUUCUUAUAUGAAAUAUAGUUUUGAGUUCUUAAUCCAUUCACCUUUUUUUCAUCUCUGCUGGAUUCCUCCCCUGAACAUACCCACAUCUGCCCUGAUUAUAUUGUGAUUUUCAAGUUUCCUGCUAAAUCCAAAGGAAGGAAAUGAUAAUUCGUUUGUAAUACCAGCUAUCCAAUCCCAAGGCAAGGACCAAGAGUUUGGUAGGGUCCCUAAGCCAACCUCUCCUAGGAUGGCUUUUUCAAUGCUAUUUGCUACAAUUUCAAUUCAUCAUCCUGCUAAAGAUAUGGAUCUUGUCAAUACAUAUUAUGAAGAAUUCAAGAUUCUGAAAUUGCUAUUGCGUGUUGCUUAAUGCACAUGGUGGAGCAGCUUUUCAUGAAGCUCAUCCGGACACUUAUAGAAAGAGAGCAGUUGCAACAGCUGCAGAUGUAGCAAUUUCAGUUCAUGCAGGUUCUCGGCCAAGAGAGAGGAUGAGACGAAGCAUCAUUUCAACAAUGUCAGCUGCAUCUUGGAGAUAAGUGAGCUUUUUUGGCGUAGUCGUUGCUUCCUUGACAUUUUGAUGGUGCUCCAUAUUAUCUCCAUUUUUCAAGUUAAAGUAAUUCUUAUUGUUCUUCCUGACUAGCACUUCAAAUUAAUAUUCAUAUAGUUCUUUGUACAUAUAAAACUGUUGAAUGUAUAAUUAAUCAUACAAGGCAUUCAUUUUGGGCAAAUAGGAUUUUGGGUCUUGUUUGAUUUCUAAAAGCUCUCAAAUGU